rnacentral:rRNA from 1 species
ACGGCGAGUGAAGCGGCAACAGCUCAAAUUUGAAAUCUGGCCCUUGGGUCCGAGUUGUAAUUUGUAGAGGAUGUUUUUGGUGCGGUAUCUUCCGAGUUCCUUGGAACAGGACGCCUUAGAGGGUGAGAGCCCCGUACGGUUGAAUGCCUAGCCUUUGUAAAACUCCUUCGACGAGUCGAGUAGUUUGGGAAUGCUGCUCUAAAUGGGAGGUAAAUUUCUUCUAAAGCUAAAUACUGGCCAGAGACCGAUAGCGCACAAGUAGAGUGAUCGAAAGAUGAAAAGCACUUUGAAAAGAGGGUUAAAUAGCACGUGAAAUUGUUGAAAGGGAAGGAUUUAUGACCAGACUUUUUCUGGGCGGAUCAUCCGGUGUUCUCACCGGUGCACUUCGCUCAGUUUAGGCCAGCAUCGAUUUUCGGUGGGGGAUAAAAGCUUUAGGAAUGUGGCUCCUCCGGGAGUGUUAUAGCCUAUUGUAUAAUACCCUACUGGGGAUCGAGGUACGCGCUUCUGCAAGGAUGCUGGCGUAAUGGUUAUCAAUCACCCGU